rnacentral:tRNA from 2 species
AAGGGUUUAGUUUAUUUAAAACAUUAUUUUGUCAAAUUAAAAAAAUUAAUUAUAAUAACUCUUU